GCCUGAGUGGCGCAGUGGUUAACGCGUCUGUCUUGUACCACGCACGAGAACAGAAGACUCCUGGGUUCAAAUCCCAGCUUGGGCU
rfam:Trichosporon asahii var. asahii CBS 8904 unplaced genomic scaffold scaffold00193, whole genome shotgun sequence.